UAAGUCUCUGUUUAAAUAUCCAGGCUCAACCUGGAGGAAGGCAGGGAAACUGGCUGGCUUGAGCAUAGUAGAGGUAACUGGAAUUUCUAGUGUAGGAGUGAGAUCCGUAGAUAUUAGAAGGAACACCGAUGGCGUAGGCAGGUUACUGGGCUAUUGCUGACACUAAGGCACGAAAGCGUGGGGAGCGAACGGGAUUAGAUACCCCGGUAGUCCACGCCCUAAACGAUGCAUGCUA
rnacentral:rRNA from 1 species